AAAUUGAAGAGUUUGAUCAUGGCUCAGAUUGAACGCUGGCGGCAGGCCUAACACAUGCAAGUCGAACGGUAACAGGAAACAGCUUGCUGUUUCGCUGACGAGUGGCGGACGGGUGAGUAAUGUCUGGGAAACUGCCUGAUGGAGGGGGAUAACUACUGGAAACGGUAGCUAAUACCGCAUAAUGUCGCAAGACUAAAGAGGGGGACCUUCGGGCCUCUUGCCAUCGGAUGUGCCCAGAUGGGAUUAGCUAGUAGGUGGGGUAACGGCUCACCUAGGCGACGAUCCCUAGCUGGUCUGAGAGGAUGACCAGCCACACUGGAACUGAGACACGGUCCAGACUCCUACGGGAGGCAGCAGUGGGGAAUAUUGCACAAUGGGCGCAAGCCUGAUGCAGCCAUGCCGCGUGUAUGAAGAAGGCCUUCGGGUUGUAAAGUACUUUCAGCGGGGAGGAAGGGAGUAAAG
rnacentral:rRNA from 1 species